GGGGAAGUUUGCAUUGGAGCUGAGUACCCUGAAUCUGCUUCAUGACUCUACUAUUCAGCUCUUACGUUAUGCAAAUGAGUAGAUGAAGAAGGAAGGAGCAAGCUGACGAAGUGGGGAUAAACGGUUUGAGCAGAUCUACUAGCGACAGUGAGCAGCCCAUACUUAGCAGUGUAACGGAUAGCUGAGCUUGAGAAAGUAAAUUGUCAGGAGUGGUACAAGACAGAAAUGUGAAACCUUUGGCACAGUGUCUGGCAGCAGCUCAGAAAGCAAGUAGGAUCUUAGGAGGUAUAAUUAGAGGGAGAGACCAUGCUCAUCAAUAGAGUAGUACUAGUAGAAUGAAGAGACAAAUGUAAUUGAUACUGCUAAGUUAAGAGGCUGAAAUAGUCAUUCCAAGAGCAGGUUUGUUGAAAGGCUGUGGACAGUACCGGUAUGCACUUUUGGAAACUCCCACCCUGCAUUCCCA
rnacentral:lncRNA from 1 species